rnacentral:rRNA from 1 species
AGCUAGUUGGUGGGGUAAGAGCUCACCAAGGCGACGAUCUGUAGCGGGUCUGAGAGGAUGAUCCGCCACACUGGAACUGAGACACGGUCCAGACUCCUACGGGAGGCAGCAGUGGGGAAUUUUGUACAAUGGGGGCAACCCUGAUCCAGCCAUGCCGCGUGAGUGAAGAAGGCCUUCGGGUUGUAAAGCUCUUUCGGCCGGGAAGAAAUCGUAUCAGCUAAUACCUGGUGCGGAUGACGGUACCGGCAUAAGAAGCACCGGCUAACUACGUGCCAGCAGCCGCGGUAAUACGUAGGGUGCGAGCGUUAAUCGGAAUUACUGGGCGUAAAGCGUGCGCAGGCGGUUUUGUAAGACAGGCGUGAAAUCCCCGGGCUCAACCUGGGAACUGCGUUUGUGACUGCAAGGCUAGAGUACGGCAGAGGGGGGUGGAAUUCCACGUGUAGCAGUGAAAUGCGUAGAGAUGUGGAGGAACACCAAUGGCGAAGGCAGCCCCCUGGGUCGGUACUGACGCUCAUGCACGAAAGCGUGGGUAGCAAACAGGAUUAGAUACCCUGGUAGUCCACGCCCUAAACGAUGUCAACUAGGUGUUGGGAGGGUAAAACCUUUUAGUACCGGAGCUAACGCGUGAAGUUGACCGCCUGGGGAGUACGGCCGCAAGGUUAAAACUCAAAGGAAUUGACGGGGACCCGCACAAGCGGUGGAUGAUGUGGAUUAAUUCGAUGCAACGCGAAAAACCUUACCUACCCUUGACAUGUCAGGAACUUUCCAGAGAUGGAUUGGUGCUCGAAAGAGAACCUGAACACAGGUGCUGCAUGGCUGUCGUCAGCUCGAGUCGUGAGAUGUUGGGUUAAGUCCCGCAACGAGCGCAACCCUUGUCGUUAAUUGCCAUCAUUUAGUUGGGCACUUUAACGAGACUGCCGGUGACAAACCGGAGGAAGGUGGGGAUGACGUCAAGUCCUCAUGGCCCUUAUGGGUAGGGCUUCACACGUCAUACAAUGGUCGGUACAAAGGGUCGCCAAGCCGCGAGGUGGAGCUAAUCCCAGAAAGCCGAUCGUAGUCCGGAUUGCAGGCUGCAACUCGCCUGCAUGAAGUCGGAAUCGCUAGUAAUCGUGGAUCAGCAUGCCACGGUGAAUACGUUCCCGGGUCUUGUACACACCGCCCGUCACACCAUGGGAGCGGGUUCCGCCAGAAAUAGGUAGCCUAACCGCAAGGAGGGCGCUUACCACGGCGGGGUUCGUGACUGGGGUGAAGUCGUAACAAGGUAGCCGUAGGGGAACCUGCGGCUG